CCUACGGGAGGCAGCAGUAAGGAAUAUUGGUCAAUGGACGCAAGUCUGAACCAGCCAUGCCGCGUGAAGGAUUAAGGUCCUCUGGAUUGUAAACUUCUUUUAUUUGGGACGAAAAAGGGCCUUUCUAGGUCAACUGACGGUACCAGAUGAAUAAGCACCGGCUAACUCCGUGCCAGCAGCCGCGGUAAUACGGAGGGUGCAAGCGUUAUCCGGAUUCACUGGGUUUAAAGGGUGCGUAGGCGGGUAGGUAAGUCAGUGGUGAAAUCCUAGAGCUUAACUCUAGAACUGCCAUUGAUACUAUCUAUCUUGAAUAUUGUGGAGGUAAGCGGAAUAUGUCAUGUAGCGGUGAAAUGCUUAGAUAUGACAUAGAACACCUAUUGCGAAGGCAGCUUACUACGCAUAUAUUGACGCUGAGGCACGAAAGCGUGGGGAUCAAACAGGAUUAGAUACCCUGGUAGUCCACGCCCUAAACUAUANAUACUCACAUUAGUAGAUACACAUUAAGUAGUCUGAGAGAAAGACGAUAAGUAAUACCACCGUAACGGUAAGGUACGUUCCGCGAAGGAAGUUAGAAACGUUAACAAAGUUAGAAGUUAGACGGCGUUGAGACGNGCGACGGACGACGACGAGGGAGGAGGAG
rnacentral:rRNA from 1 species